rnacentral:tRNA from 2 species
GCCCGGGUGGUGAAAUUGGUAGACACGCAAGACUUAAAAUUUUGUAGCCGUGAGGCUGUGCGGGUUCGAUUCCCGCCCCGGGCA